AUAACCGGCUUAGGCCCUGUUUGUUUACCUCUUAAUUGUAAAAUUAAGAGGCAAUAUCUGAAAAUUUUAGAUUCAGAUCGUUUGUUUGCGUCUUACUUUUUACCUUUUAAAAUAAAAAACACCUCUUAAUUUAUCAGAUAGGGAACAAAGUCUGAAAAAAAAAAUGAACGCAUGUUUUGUUUUUCCCUAAACUACACGAUCGCACGUACCCACCUCCUCUUCUCCCGUCUUCUUCCCCUGUCGCGCCUGCUUCCCUUCGCCGUCGCCGCCGCCUGAGACGAUGCCGCCCACCCAUCGUCGACGACGGCCGCCUGAAACUCCACCUGCUGUACCCUAAACCCGAAAAUCAAAAAAUUCAAAAUAGGUGCAUUUGCUUCUUUUGAAAAUCGAUUAAUCUUCUUAUGGUUCUUCCUUCUUUCCCCCCAAAUGCGAAAAUAAAUAAUGGAAAUCAAGUUCUUAUGUUAUGAAAUGGGAGAAAAGAAUGAUAGGAUCAGUUGGAAGGUUGAAGGUAUAGAGAAAACGUUUUUAGAAGCUUGUUUACGUGAAGUUACAGUCAAUGGACGGGAAGAGAGUAGUUUGAAAGCACUAUCUUGGAGGAAUGUAGCUGAAACAUUAAAAAUUGAACAUAAUUUUAUUGCUGACCAAAAACAAAUGAAGAACCGCUAUGGCUACCUAAAGUCAAAGUUUGGUGCUUUUUUGAAGUUAAAAAACAAAACCGGUAAUAUGUACAAUCCAACAACCAACACCUUCAAUCUUUCCAAAGAAGAAUCGGAACUAGAAUCGAAGGUAAUUUGUUUAGUUAUAAAAAAUAUAUUGUAACGCCCGUGUUUCUGGGCUAAAGCAUUAAUAAUGGUGUAAUAGUCUAGAUCAACCUUUGUAACUCAUUUUGAAGUAAUAAAAAGGAAUUAUGUGAA